GUGACUGUUAUACCAGCUCUAUCAGGUCCAUCAGAACUAGAAGACAUGGGGAGGGGACUGUUAUACCAGCUCUAUCAGAACUAGAAGACAUGGGGAGGGGACUGUUAUACCAGCUCUAUCAGAACUAGAAGACAUGGGGAGGGGACUGUUAUACCAGCUCUAUCAGAACUAGAAGACAUGGGGAGGGGACUGUUAUACCAGCUCUAUCAGAACUAGAAGACAUGGGGAGGGGACUGUUAUACCAGCUCUAUCAGAACUAGAAGACAUGGGGAGGGGACUGUUAUACCAGCUCUAUCAGAACUAGAAGACAUGGGGAGGGGACUGUUAUACCAGCUCUAUCAGAACUAGAAGACAUGGGGAGGUGACUGUUAUACCUGCUCCAUCAGAACUAGAAGACAUGGGG